rnacentral:rRNA from 1 species
AAGUCAGGUGUGAAAGCCUUCUGUUCAACGGAAGAAUUGCAUCUGAAACUGCGAGUCUUGAGUGUAGGAGGGGAGAAUGGAACUUCUGGUGGAGCGGUGAAAUGCGUAGAUAUCAGAAGGAACGCCGGCGGCGAAAGCGAUUCUCUGGCCUAUUACUGACACUCAGUGUGCGAAAGCUAGGGGAGCAAACGGGAUUAGAUACCCCGGUAGUCCUAGCUGUAAACGAUGGGCACUAAGUAGAGGGGAUUACCGAUGUUCUCUCUGCCGUAGCUAACGCAUUAAGUGCCCCGCCUGGGGAGUACGGCCGCAAGGCUAAAACUCAAAGGAAUUGACGGGGGCUCGCACGAGCGGUGGAGCAUGUGGCUUAAUUCGAUGCAACGCGAAAAACCUUACCGGGGCUUGACAUGGUAGAAGUAGGAACCUGAAAGGGUAACGAACGGUAUCCAGUCCGUAGCUAUUACAGGUGUUGCAUGGCUGUCGUCAGCUCGUGUCGUGAGACGUUGGGUUAAGUCCCCUAACGAGCGAAACCCCUGUUUUUAGUUGCCAGCGGGUUAUGCCGGGUACUCUAGAAAGACUGCCGUCGUCAAGACGGAGGAAGGUGGGGAUGACGUCAAGUCAUCAUGGCCCUUAUGCCCCGGGCUGCACACGUGCUACAAUGGUCGGUACAAACGGAAGCGAAG